GAUGAACGCUGGCGGCGUGCUUAACACAUGCAAGUCGAACGGAAAGGCUCCUGCUUGCAGGGGUACUCGAGUGGCGAACGGGUGAGUAACACGUGGGUGAUCUGCCCUGCACUUCGGGAUAAGCCUGGGAAACUGGGUCUAAUACCGGAUAGGACGAUGGUUUGGAUGCCAUUGUGGAAAGUUUUUCGGUGUGGGAUGAGCUCGCGGCCUAUCAGCUUGUUGGUGGGGUAAUGGCCUACCAAGGCGUCGACGGGUAGCCGGCCUGAGAGGGUGUACGGCCACAUUGGGACUGAGAUACGGCCCAGACUCCUACGGGAGGCAGCAGGGGGGAAUAUUGCACAAUGGGCGCAAGCCUGAUGCAGCGACGCCGCGUGGGGGAUGACGGCCUUCGGGUUGUAAACUCCUUUCGCUAGGGACGAAGCGUUUUGUGACGGUACCUGGAGAAGAAGCACCGGCUAACUACGUG
rnacentral:rRNA from 1 species